rnacentral:rRNA from 2 species
CUAUACAUGCAGUCGAGCGAACAGAGAAGGAGCUUGCUCCUUCGACGUUAGCGGCGGACGGGUGAGUAACACGUGGGCAACCUACCUUAUAGUUUGGGAUAACUCCGGGAAACCGGGGCUAAUACCGAAUAAUCUGUUUCACCUCAUGGUGAAACACUGAAAGACGGUUUCGGCUGUCGCUAUAGGAUGGGCCCGCGGCGCAUUAGCUAGUUGGUGAGGUAACGGCUCACCAAGGCGACGAUGCGUAGCCGACCUGAGAGGGUGAUCGGCCACACUGGGACUGAGACACGGCCCAGACUCCUACGGGAGGCAGCAGUAGGGAAUCUUCCACAAUGGGCGAAAGCCUGAUGGAGCAACGCCGCGUGAGUGAAGAAGGAUUUCGGUUCGUAAAACUCUGUUGUAAGGGAAGAACAAGUACAGUAGUAACUGGCUGUACCUUGACGGUACCUUAUUAGAAAGCCACGGCUAACUACGUGCCAGCAGCCGCGGUAAUACGUAGGUGGCAAGCGUUGUCCGGAAUUAUUGGGCGUAAAGCGCGCGCAGGUGGUUUCUUAAGUCUGAUGUGAAAGCCCACGGCUCAACCGUGGAGGGUCAUUGGAAACUGGGAGACUUGAGUGCAGAAGAGGAUAGUGGAAUUCCAAGUGUAGCGGUGAAAUGCGUAGAGAUUUGGAGGAACACCAGUGGCGAAGGCGACUAUCUGGUCUGUAACUGACACUGAGGCGCGAAAGCGUG